rnacentral:rRNA from 1 species
GUGAAUCAUCGAAUCUUUGAACGCACAUUGCACCCUCUGGUAUUCCAGAGGGUAUGCCUGUUUGAGCGUCAUUUCUCUCUCAAACCCUCGGGUUUGGUAUUGAGUGAUACUCUAAACUGGGUUAACUUGAAAUAUUUGGCAAGAGUGUGCUUCAGUGCGCUUGAGUGUUGACAUAAUGUAUUAGGUUCUACCAACUCGUUAUAUCUCACGCUUGUACACAGCUAGCAUGUUUGGCUCGGCCUAUAUAAUAUCUUCACAAAGUUUGACCUCAAAUCAGGUAGGACUACCCGCUGAACUUAA